AAAUUAUAAAAGCGUUAUUCUUGUAUAAGCCCAUUAAUAAGGGAUGGGCGUUUCUACAGGCAACCGUGAAUUGCCCCAGGCUACAAGAGACUGAAAGCGACGC
rnacentral:ncRNA from 2 species